rnacentral:rRNA from 1 species
UGGGCAACCUGCCCCUAGCUCUGGGAUAACUGCGGGAAACUGUAGCUAAUACCGGAUGUGACACGAGACUGCAUGGUCUUCGUGUGGAAAGAUUUAUCGGCUAGGGAUGGGCCCGCGGUCUAUCAGCUUGUUGGUGGGGUAAUGGCUCACCAAGGCGACGACGGAUAACCGGCCUGAGAGGGUGACCGGCCACACUGGGACUGAGACACGGCCCAGACCUCCCGUACGGGGAGG